rnacentral:rRNA from 1 species
CAUGCAAGUCGAACGAGGAAAGGACUUCGGUCCGAGUACUAGUGGCGCACGGGAGAGGAACACGUGGGUAAUCUACCUUUAGGAGAGGAAUAACCAGUCGAAAGAUUGGCUAAUACCUCGUAGGACCACAGAGAUUUAAAUCUCAGGGGUGAAAGAUUUAUCGCCUAAAGAUGAGCCCGCGUCCCAUUAGCUUGUUGGUAAGGUAACGGCUUACCAAGGCUACGAUGGGUAGCUGGUCUUAGAGGAUGAUCAGCCUCACUGGAACUGAAACACGGUCCAGACUCCUACGGGAGGCAGCAGUAGGGAAUAUUGCACAAUGGGCGAAAGCCUGAUGCAGCGACGCCGCGUGAGUGAUGACGGUUUUCGGAUUGUAAAGCUCUGUUCUCAGGGAAUAAGAAAGUGAAUGUACCUGAGGAGAAAGCACCGGCUAACUUCGUGCCAGCAGCCGCGGUAAUACGAGGGGUGCAAGCGUUGCUCGGAAUCAUUGGGCGUAAAGCGGGUGUAGGUGGUUAUAUAAGUCAGAGGUGAAAGCCCAGGGCUCAACCCUGGAAGUGCCUUUGAUACUGUAUGACUUGAGUGUGGGAGAGGGUACUAGAAUUC